GAUGAACGCUAGCGGGAGGCCUAACACAUGCAAGCCGAGCGGGAUUUGUUGGUUAGCUUGCUAACUAACAAUGAGAGCGGCGUACGGGUGCGUAGCACGUGUGCAACCUGCCUUUAUCUGGGGGAUAGCCUUUCGAGAGGAAGAUUAAUACCCCAUAACAUAUUGAUUGGCAUCAGUUAAUAUUGAAAGCUCCGGCGGAUAGAGAUGGGCACGCGUAAGAUUAGCUAGUUGGUGAGGUAACGGCUCACCAAGGCUGCGAUCUUUAGGGGGCCUGAGAGGGUGAUCCCCCACACUGGUACUGAGACACGGACCAGACUCCUACGGGAGGCAGCAGUGAGGAAUAUUGGACAAUGGGUGAGAGCCUGAUCCAGCCAUCCCGCGUGAAGGACUAAGGACCUAUGGUUUGUAAACUUCUUUUAUACAGGGAUAAACCUACUCUCGUGAGGGUAGCUGAAGGUACUGUAUGAAUAAGCACCGGCUAACUCCGUG
rnacentral:rRNA from 1 species